rnacentral:rRNA from 1 species
AUUGAACGCUGGCGGCAGGCCUAACACAUGCAAGUCGAGCGGAUGAAGGGAGCUUGCUCCUGGAUUCAGCGGCGGACGGGUGAGUAAUGCCUAGGAAUCUGCCUGGUAGUGGGGGAUAACGUCCGGAAACGGGCGCUAAUACCGCAUACGUCCUGAGGGAGAAAGUGGGGGAUCUUCGGACCUCACGCUAUCAGAUGAGCCUAGGUGGGAUUAGCUAGCUGGUGGGGUAAAGGCCUAUCAAGGCGACGAUCCGUAACUGGUCUGAGAGGAUGAUCAGUCACACUGGAACUGAGACACGGCCCAGACUCCUACGGGAGGCAGCAGUGGGGAAUAUUCGACACUGGGCGAAAGCCUGAUCCAGCUACGCCGCGUGUGUGAAGAAGGUCUUCGGAUUGUAAAGCCCUUUAAGUUGGGAGGAAGGGCAGUAAGUUAAUACCUUGCUGUUUUGACGUUACCGACAGAAUAAGCACCGGCUAACUUCGUG